AGCGGCGGACGGGUGAGUAACGCGUGGGUAACCUGCCCUAUACACACGGAUAACAUACCGAAAGGUAUGCUAAUACGAGAUAAUAUAAGAGAUUCGCAUGGAUUUCUUAUCAAAGCUGAGGCGGUAUAGGAUGGACCCGCGUCUGAUUAGCUAGUAGGUAAGGUAACGGCUUACCAAGGCGACGAUCAGUAGCCGACCUGAGAGGGUGAUCGGCCACAUUGGAACUGAGACACGGUCCAAACUCCUACGGGAGGCAGCAGUGGGGAAUAUUGCACAAUGGGCGAAAGCCUGAUGCAGCAACGCCGCGUGAGUGAUGAAGGCCUUCGGGCCGUAAAACUCUGUCCUCAAGGAAGAUAAUGACGGUACUUGAGGAGGAAGCCCCGGCUAACUACGUGCCAGCAGCCGCGGUAAUACGUAGGGGGCUAGCGUUAUCCGGAUUUACUGGGCGUAAAGGGUGCGUAGGUGGUCUCUUAAGUCAGGAGUGAAAGGCUACGGCUUAACCGUAGUAAGCUCUUGAAACUGGGAGACUUGAGUGCAGGAGAGGAAAGUGGAAUUCCUAGUGUAGCGGUGAAAUGCGUAGAUAUUAGGAGGAACACCAGUAGCGAAAGGCGGCUUUCUGGACUGUAACUGACACUGAGGCACGAAAGCGUGGGGAGCAAACAGGAUUAGAUACCCUGGGUAGUCCACGCCGUAAACGAUGAGUACUAGGUGU
rnacentral:rRNA from 1 species